UGUGGGAGGGGAGGGGCUUGCGCCAGUAGUUGUUGAUUAGCACGAGCUGCUCCACGCCCUUGAUGCCGAGAAGCAGGAGCCAGCGGUCGAGCUGGUCUCGGUACUUUAACAACGGGUACAUGGGGGAUAGAACCUAUACGGCUAGACUUGGACCAGGAGGCUUAGCCCAUUACGAGACGAGUUCAAGGCUUGAUCCGACAGCCUGGAGUUUCGCGCAAGGAAGCAAGAUGUGGAGAUCAAGCAGGAUUCUAGUCGGUUAGAAUAGGAAUUGAUAUCGAACUAUCUAUGACAAUUGUAACCGACUAGGAUUAGUUUCCAGAUCUGUAACCCUGCCCUUCAGACUAUAUAAGGAGAGGCAAAGGACCCUCCUAGGACAUCAUAUUCUCUCAACACAAAUCAAUACAACCAGACGCAGGACGUAGGUAUUACGCCAACUCGGCGGCCGAACCUGGAUAAAAAGCUUGUCCGUGUCUUGCGUCACCAUCGAGUUCGUAGUUUGCGCACCGUCUACCGAUAAACUACUACCGUGGGUAUACCCCAAGGUAGACUGCCGACCAGCUUUCGUCGACAGUGGCGCGCCAGGUAGGGGGUGUGCGUGCAACUUUUCCGGCGAACAAGAUGGUCACGAUCCCAGCUUCCGCGACCGUGCCUGAAGGCCUCACGUUCACCGUUGGCCAGAUCACGUGGACAACGUGCAGCGGCGGCCUCACGACCACGGUUUCGAAAGAGACCCAGAUCCAAUCUGAGAUCACGCCGUCUCCGACCACACACGUGGCGGCACCGAGCGCCCGACCACCGUUCCCGCUCUACAAGGGAAAGAAGAUCGACAGCUCGGACCUUCUCCAAGCGCUUGAUCGCGCUGACUCCAAGCUACUCGAAGUUUCCCAACUAGUAGACGGAGUUCUGCGUCGGCCCGACCAAGCUGCUCCAGCGGAUUUUUUCAAAUCCCGCCGGCCAACUCGUGUCGCCACACACGAACGGCUGGGAACGUCUCUGACGAUAACCUCAACCCCCUCAGGACGAUCCGUCGAGCUCAAGAAGGAAGAUUAUCCUUGCGGCCUGAACAACUCGGCCUCUGUUUACUCACAGCACACCCAAUCCGUUUUCAGCAAGGCGGGUUGGUCGCCGACAAGGAACGAUCGUCACUACGUCAACAUGGUGACAAUCCGAGAACUACGGGACGACCAGGUUUCCAGCACCAACUCAAGCACCGGUUCCGUCCCCACCGAGGUUAUAAACACCGAAGACGAGGACUACGACCUGGAUUUUCCUUCACACCCUCCGGGUUUCAACCGAUUCCCGAUAUUUCCCCCCCGGCGAGGGGAUAUUGUGUUCAAUGUCAGCGCCGACGAACCGGUCGUUGAUGGAGAAACAGAUGACCAGAGGCAACUCCGCGAACAGCGCAACGCCGAUCGCGCCCGACGACGCGCAGACGAGCAACAACAAAUGCCACCAAAUAAUCUCAACGAUGCCUUUGACAUGGUCGGGGACCAGCCAGUCUACAAAACGCCAAGCGCCAACGUGGCUGUCGCCAUGGCUAACCUAGAUCGGCUUCCUGAUACCCCCGAGUGCCAGGGAGUCCGGACCAGCAUCCGAGCACACCUGAUCGCUGCAAUGGGACAGACAACCACUCUGCUCAAGAGAGUCCAGGACGUCUCUUAUACGGAAGCCGCUCCGACCAGACUAAUCGAAGCCGGGCCUCACCGUCUCCCAGCAGGCGUCACCGCAGCCGCUCCCCCGACAACCGUCGAGGGGACUCACGGCGCGACAAUGGUGGUCGGGACGCCGACAGUCGCCGCAAGCAGAACCGCGUACGCGGCCAAGAAGUAAACCAGCACAGGGAUCUCCGCCACAACAUCCCUCCCAAAGAUGCCCGGGACCGCAUCAACAGGCGCGCCGCAGAGAGAGCAGUCCACGAAAACCUACGCCGCAUCGAGUACGAUGCAACGCACGGUCCUCCGGGCCUAAGACAGUUCUCCUCACACCUCCGCCAGGUCGUGUGGCCCCGCAAUUUCAAGCUCGAAAAACUUAAAAAAUACGACGGCAAGGAAAAUCCAGAGAACUGGAUCACCCUCUAUGAAAUCGCCGUCCGAUCAGCGGCAGGGGAUGAGCACGUCAUGGCUAACUACUUCCCCGUAGUCCUCGACCAGGCUGGUCAUCAGUGGCUGCUCGGCUUGCCCGAGGACUCCUUCGACUCUUGGGAAGAGCUACGCCAGGCUUUCAUCGACAACUUCAUCGCCACAUGCGAGCAGCCUGGAAACAAGUAUGACCUUGAAAGGAUAAGGGACAGGAAGAACGAACCUCUGCGCGAUUACAUCCGACGAUUCUCGGAUAUGCGCCUCAAAAUCCCGAAGAUUUCCCACGACGAGGCCAUCUCAGCCUUCAUCAAGGGCCUGCGUUUCCACGAAGCGCUGAGGAACAAGCUGUUGCGUAAGCGUCCAACAACGGUAGCAGAGCUCCUCGCCACGGCCAAAAAUUACGCCGAUGCCGAUGACGCAGAAAAACUAAUCCGAGACGAUGCGAGAGGACCCGACCAGCCUCCCCGGCGAGAUGACGGUCGUGGUCGCUACGACAGCAGAAACCACCGCCGCUCCGACAACCGCGAUCACCGAGAGGGUUGGGAUCGGCGGCGCGACAACCGCGACGAUUUCAGAGGAAAGCGCCCUCGCGACUACGACCACGAAGUAAACACGGUCAAGCGUCCCAACGGACGACGGGACUACCAAGAAGACUACAACAAAACGUUGAAGGGACCAUGCCAACUGCACCCAAAGUCUAAUCAUACCAUGGAAGAGUGCCGCGUCCUCAAAAGCAUCUAUACACGGCGGGCCGCCCAAGACGACUCCGCCAAGAAAAACAACAAGCGAGACGGGCACGACCACGAAGAUGAGGACGAGGACCAAGAUAGGGACCCCCGACACCAGUACGUCAGCCCCACCGACGUGGUCCACUCCAUUUUCGGGGGCAAGGUCUCCAUUGAAUCUAAGCGAGAAAGAAAGCUGUUAAAGAGAGCUUGCCUCAACAUAGACAGCACGGACGGGCUGAUCGCAGACCCAAAAUUCCCCCCGUGGUCCCACAGGGAGAUCUCGUUCAGCAGGAAGGACCAGUGGGCCGCUAUCCCAGAGCCGGGUCGUUUCCCCCUGAUUCUGGACCCUUGCAUCAACAGCAUCAGAUUCGAGCGCGUGCUCGUGGACGGGGGAAGCUCCAUUGACAUCCUCUUUCGCAACAGCCUGCCCGCCCUCAAGAUAUCUCCUGCACAACUAAAACCUUACGACGCCCAAUUCUGGGGGUUUUGCCGGGUCAAAGUUCAGUGUCUCUCGGACAGAUAACAUUGCCUGUCCAAUUCGGCACACCCGACCACUUCCGGACGGAGUUCAUCAACUUCGUGGUCGCCGAUUUCGACGGGACCUAUCACGCUAUACUGGGCCGACCAUCGCUGACAAAGUUCAUGGCAGUCCCGCACUACUCAUACCUGGUCCUUAAGAUGCCUACGGAGAAGGGCGUCCUAACCGUCAGAGGCAAUGUUUACACUGCGUAUACCUGCGAAGAGGAGAGCUUCAAGGUCACCGAAGCACUCGACCUCUCAAUCCGCAUGGCAGAAACAGCAACUCAAGCCGCGCAGCUGCUUCCCGACCAGCUCCGAUUACCUGAGCAGGAGACAGCCAGAAAGAACUCAAAAUCCAAGGAGCACAAAGAAGUACAACUGGUCGAUGGCAGCCCCGAGAAGACGGCCCUCAUCGGGGCCAACCUGGAUCCAAAAUAGGAAGACGCGCUCGUCAGGUUUCUAAGGGACAACGUAAGCGUUUUCGCAUGGAAACCCGCAGACAUGCCCGGCGUCCCACGAAACCUGAUCGAGCACUCCUUAAAUGUCUCGAAGACCGCAAGACCAAUCAAGCAAAAGCUGCGACGGUUCGCUCGUGACAAAAAGGAGGCUAUUAGGACAGAAAUCACACGGCUUCUAGCAGCCGGAUUCAUAAAAGAAGUGUAUCACCCCGAUUGGCUCGCCAAUCCGGUUCUUGUACGAAAAAAGAAUAAUGAAUGGAGAAUGUGCGUUGAUUACACUGAUCUCAAUAAACACUGUCCUAAAGAUCCUUUUGGUCUCCCUCGCAUCGACGAGGUGGUCGACUCAACGGCCGGAUGCGAACUCCUCUCCUUUCUAGACUGCUACUCUGGUUAUCACCAGAUUUCGCUAAAGGAAGAAGAUCAGAUCAAAACGUCUUUUAUUACACCUUUCGGCGCAUACUGCUACACGACCAUGUCUUUCGGACUCAAAAACGCCGGAGCCACUUAUCAAAGGGCCAUCCAGCAAUGCCUCCACGACGAGAUUCGUGAUGACCUCGUCGAGGCCUAUGUGGACGACGUGGUCGUAAAAACAAGGGACGCGAGCACCCUAAUCGACAACUUAGACCGAACUUUCAAGGCACUCAAUAGGUACAAGUGGAAGCUCAACCCCAAGAAAUGCAUUUUCGGCGUUCCUUCCGGUCUACUGCUCGGCAACGUUGUCAGUCGCGACGGCAUACGACCAAACCCUUCAAAAGUAAAGGCGGUACUCGACAUGCGACCAUCGAAGAACGUAAAGGAUAUCCAAAAGCUAACCGGAUGUAUGGCUGCCCUCAGUCGCUUCAUCUCAAGGCUAGGAGAAAAAGGCCUCCCUUUCUUCAAACUAUUAAAAGCGUCGGAAAAAUUUUCUUGGACAGAAGAAGCCGACACCGCAUUCAACCAGCUUAAGACCUUCCUCACUUCACCACCUGUCCUUACAGCGCCUCAGCCCAAUGAAGACCUACUCCUUUACAUUGCUGCAACCGACAGGGUUGUUUCCACGGCAAUAGUGGUCGAGCGAGGUGAACCAGGUCACGCCUACAAAGUCUAGAAACCAGUUUACUUCAUAAGUGAAGUCUUAAACGAGUCCAAGGCCAGGUAUCCACAAAUACAGAAGCUCAUAUACGCCAUUCUAAUAACGUCAAGAAAGCUGAAGCACUACUUCGACGGCCAUCGAGUCCUGGUGACAACCAGUUUCCCUCUCGGGGACAUCCUGCGCAAUAAAGACGCCAAUGGCAGAAUCGUGAAAUGGGCAAUGGAAUUAUGUCCAUUUUCCCUGGAGUUCCAGAGUCGCACCACUAUCAAGUCUCAGGCCCUGGUCGAUUUCAUUGCUGAAUGGACGGAUCUCAACGAGCCUUCCGUUCCCGAUAUCUCAGACCACUGGUCAAUGUUCUUUGACGGGUCCUUGAACAUCAACGGUGCCGGCGCUGGGAUACUGUUCGUAUCACCCAACAAGGACAAACUGCGUUACGUCCUUCGGAUCCUUUUUCCGGCGUCAAACAACGUCGCCGAAUACGAAGCAUGCUUGCAUGGCAUAAGACUAGCCGUUGAGCUGGGAGUCAAGCGCCUCUAUGUUUAUGGCGACUCCGCUUUGGUCAUCAACCAGCUCAACAAGGAGUGGGACGCAACCCACGAGAAGAUGGAUCUCUACUGCAAAGAAAUUCGCAAAUGGGAAACCAACUUCUACGGCAUAGAGUACAUCCACGUGGUCCGGGAUAAGAACCAAGCAGCAGAUGCGUUGUCGAAGUUAGGCUCAUCUCGGGCCCAGAUCCCGCGGGGUAUUUUCGUCCAGGACAUCCACGAGCCGAGCGUAGGCUCCUCCCUGGUCGACAAGCAGCCCACCGAGGCAAUGCUCAUAGACGACGCCACUCCGACAACCGGUGGGCGUGACUGGCGUACCCCGUUCAUCAAAUACAUAUCGGACGGGACAGUCCUUCAGGACAAAACAGAGAACGAGCGCCUCAUUCGACGAUCAAAGAACUACAUCCUGGUCGACGGCAAACUCAUGCGGAAAAACGCAAGCUCCGAAGUACUGCUCAAGUGCAUACCCCAAGAUGAUGGUAUCAAGCUCUUAGAGGACAUACAUGCUGGAUCCUGCGGCAAUCACGCCGCAUCCAGAACGCUGGUCGGAAAGGCUUUCCGAGCAGGUUUUUAUUGGCCAACCGCGGUCGACGACGCAGAAAAACUGGUCCGACAUUGCGAAGGAUGUCAGUUUUUCGCUAAGAGGACCCACGUACCUGCCCACGAAAUUCAAACCAUCCCGUCGUCUUGGCCCUUCGCUUGCUGGGGGCUCGACAUGAUCGGGCCAUUUAAACCAGCCCCGGGCAAUUUCAAGUUCGUUUUCGUGUUAAUCGACAAGUUCUCCAAGUGGAUUGAAUACAUGCCUCUGGUCAAGGCAACCUCCGAGAAGGCUGUGGAGUUCCUCAAUCAAAUCAUACACAGAUUCGGCAUCCCGAACAGCAUAAUCACCGACCUAGGCACUCAGUUUACUGGCACCACUUUUUGGGACUUCUGCGAUGACAGAGGCAUAGUCAUAAAAUACGUGUCAGUGGCACAUCCACGUGCCAACGGUCAAGUUGAACGUGCUAACGGAAUGAUCGUUGACGCCCUAAAGAAAAGGUUGUACACCGAAAACGACAGAGCACUCGGUCGAUGGAUGAAAGAAUUGCCGGCAGUGGUCUGGGGCCUCCGAACUCAGACCAGUCGAAACACAGGGGUGUCUCCCUACUUCAUGGUGUACGGUUCAGAGGCGGUCCUGCCGUCUGACAUACACUUCGGAUCUCCUAGAAUCGAACACUUUGACCAGGUGACCGCCGACAACGCCAGAGAACUCGAAAUCAAUUGCAUGGAGGAAAUGCGUUUAGAUUCUUGUCUCCGAACAGCAAAAUAUCUCGCGGCAGUCAGGCGAUACUACAACAGGAACGUCAAGGACCGUUCCUUCGUGGUCGGCGAUCUGGUACUUCGAUGGAAAACAAGCCAGGAGGGAAUGCACAAGCUAUCCACUCCCUGGGAAGGACCCUUCGUGGUGACCGAGGUCACACGACCUACGUCCUACAGAUUGGCAUACCCAGACGGAACACGAGUGCCUAACUCUUGGCACAUAGACAAACUGCGACGUUUCUAUCCAUAAAGUUUUCAUAACUUUCCUUUGUAAGUAUCUUAUAAUUGUUGAUAAUGAAAUUCUCUAUUUUUUUCCUAUACUUUGUCGCACACAGCACUCGGCAAAACUCCUGCAAUGGAUGCUCUUAACGACUACCAAGACGAAUACGGUGACACGUCACUCAGAUAAUCUUACAGCGCUCAAAACAACAGUCAUGACAAAAAGCAAACUUUAUUACAAACUUUACAUACAAAGUUUACAAUAAAUACCCUGACGGGCAGACACUAGUCUAUUCCUACAGACUACUCUAUUGGCCUAGCUGCUCGGGCUGAUCACCCGCCUGGCCCUGCUGCCCGGACGAAGGGGUCGGGGCCACCGGCGCUUGGCUGGUCGAGACCGCAGGCGUCGACCGCCCAUCUCCCGCAACGGACGCGCCCGACAACUCCCUGGCCGACCUAUCUGGACUCGGCUGGUCUGGGAGAGUGGCCGUUCCGCACAGAUUGAUGUCGCCGAUCACUGUCGACGACAAGUCCAGCAGACUACCCCGAAGCUCGUCCGCUUCCUGUGGGCCGACCUCCUUCGGGUACCCCUUCUCCAGCCUGCCCAAGUCGACCAAGGGGUAGUGGGCGCGCACCAUGCUGAGGACGUGCGCGCCGGCAAACUCCCCGGCGUCCUUCACGAACUGCUGGAGCCAGUCCCACGCCCGUUGCGCCUUCUCGACCGGGGUCAACUGUGGCGCGCGGGGCUGGCUCUCUGGGAGCUCGGGACUGAUCAGGUCUAGGACCGGGGACACUCCUUUCCAGAUCCUGCAACAGUUGACCUUCCAGGAGUCCCGAUCCUUGAUCAGAUCAUCCAGGUGCUUCUUGGCGUUCACCUUGAGCACUGCAAACGAAACAAAGCGUUAUUUUCAGCAUACCAAACAAGUAAAGGGGCGACAAGCAGCAGCUAACAAGGCGGCACCCAUUACCAGAUAAUUCCCGGUCCUUUCGACCCAAUUCCUCUCCUGCUCGUCGCCCGGACUCCAGCGCACCGGCGAGCUGUUGGCUGAGCUGCUCCUUCUCUUGUCGGAGGCGCGCCACCUCCUCCUCCAAGUCUGCGUGAAUCAUAAACUGGUCAGUAAAGCAAACUACACAAGUACGCAAAGCUGCUCGGAGCGUGUGACUAACCUUCUCGCUGCCGGUACUGGUCGGCCAAGCGACGAGUGAGGUCGAGACGACGCUCCUCUUGGGCGCUCAUCUCGGCCACCUUCUCCCCGACUUCCGACCGCAGCCGGUCUACCUCCGCGGCCAGGGCCUUGUUCUCGGCCACGACGCCUUCUAUCUGGUCAAAGCACCGUUUCCGGUACUUUGCCGUUUUCAUUGCGCCCUACAAAGCGAACAUAUAACGACCAUGCAAGACAAGGCAUAGAAUGUACAGCAGUACAAAAAGUCGCUUACCUUGACUUCGUCGACGAGGCGCUUGGCUGCGCGCUCCACCCUGGCGGCCUCCUCGGUCUCGGCGAGCUCUUCAUGCCCGAUAAAGUGAUCCCCGCGUUGGCGCCACACAUACACGUGUUGGCGGCCAUCACGGGGACGACCCUCAAUCUCUUCCACCUCGUCCUCGGAGGCCGCCUGAGCUUCCUCCUCCCGCGCUGCGUUGCUUCCGGUAGCGGUCCCAGGCAUUACUGGUCCCUGGACCAGACCUGGGGAGCCUGCAGUCGGAGCGGCCCCUGCUCGGGGCGGUGUAGAGACUUCACCCUCCCCGGCGGGAGGAGGGGUCGGGGCCCUUCCCUCCCUUUCCGUGGUGCUGGCUGGGGGAGGAGUCCCCGUAGCCUCCUCAACCCUGGUCGGGCUGCUCAACGUAGCCGGUGCCGCGGCCGGGGACUCCUCGGCGCUCUCAGGCACGGCUGCAGCCGUAGGCUGCUCUGCGGUCUGCGGGGCCGCGUCUUCAGCAGCGCAAACCGGCUCACUCGUCCCCUGGCCAGCGGCAUGGCCAGGGUUGACAUCCGACACCGCGCUAAAGGAACAAAACUACAAUAAAAAAAAACAUCGGUGAAAUACGUAAGUCGAGCACUUACAGGUUUGAGCGGCGGUGGGUCGCGGUAAACCUCCUUCUCGUCCGACCAGUCGGCACCUGUGCUCUCGACUCCCCAGCGCCAGGCGCAGGUGGAUCGACGGCCACACGGUCGGCAGUGGUCGCCCUGCCGUCCGGACGGCUAGGAGGCCUCCGGACCAACGACGGAACGGCCUCCUCCUCCUCCUCGUCGUCGUCGAUCCGGACGAACCGACGCCGCUUCGGCGCUCGGCUGCUCUCCGCCGGCAGUGUCGGCAUCGGCAACGGAUCCACAGGCAUUGGCCUUUUCCCCGACACCCUUUCCUCGGUGGUUGGGACGGGGCGGGCUUGUUCCUCCUCACUGCUGGUGUAAUGAGCACACCGAGCAGCGUCCUCCUCUAGCGGGUCUUCUCCCGCAGGAUUCUCCAUCCCCGGUGCCAGUGAUACAUACACUGUGCACCGGUCGACAUCGCCGAUCUGCAAAAAGCAACAAAGAUGAGCCAGCCACAUACGAUAUACGAAUACUAAAACAAAAUAAUCUGCAACAUACCUUUGGUGCUGGUCAGCCUAACUUGAAGGCUUGCACCCGAUCACUGCCACGGAUGAAGCCUCCGUCCGCGAAGUUGAACAGCUCGUUCAACAGCCGUUGUACCUCCGCCUUCUCCAAGAUCUCCGGUCGCAUCCUGGUCGGGUCCACGCUUCCGGCAUACUCGUACGCCGAGUGCACCCUCUUCUGGCAGGGCAUCACCCGACGACAAAUAAAGUUGCCGACCACGCCAAGCCCAUCCAGGCGCGACCAGUCGAUCGGCUUCAUCAGAUCCGCCACUUGACCGUUGAACUCCGGGCGGUCGGUCCAGCUCACCCUCUUCUCGGGAAUGUACCCCACGUCGUAGAACGUGGAGCUGCCCGGUUCCUCCCUGACGUAGAACCACUUCCUAUACCAUUCGGUCAAGGAAGUGUUCCAUGGACAGUGCAGGUAGUGAUUCUUCAUUCCAUCACGAAGGUUGAGGUAUACUCCACCUGCAACCUUGGAGCCUCCAACUGCUCCCUUCUUCCUCAAGCAGAAAAGGUAACGGAAAAGAUCGAAGUGCGGCUCUAUGCCAACAUAGGCCUCGCACAGAUGAAUAAACGUAGAGAUAAGGAGAAUUGAGUUCGGGUGCAGAUUGCAAAUCCCGAUCUCAUAAUACAAAAGAAGACCUUGGAGAAAAGGAUGAACCGGAACCCCAAAUCCCCUCUUGACGAAAUCUUCGAACACGACGAUCUCACCGGCACGAGGGUCGGGGAAGCUUUCUCCUUCCGGCGCUCUCCAGCCGCCAAGCUCCGAGCUGUGCAGGAGUCCCAUGUCGACGAGGUCACCGAGGGAUUUGGUGGUGCUGCGGGACUUCUUCCACUCCUUGGCCAUCAGUUCGGCCCUCUUCUUGGAGUCGCUCUUCGCCAUUGGAGGUGAGAAGUGGAUUUGGGUUACGAAGAUGCAGGUGAUUGAAAGAGGCGAGAAUGGAAGGCUUGAGGGCAAUGGCAGGGUAAGGAGUACAGGCGGAACUGUCAGGCUCUUAUAACCCACAACUCCACCCCUCCCAUUUCCUGUAUUCUCGGGAAGUGGGCGGGCCAUGCGGCGGAUGCGGCGUUUCGGUUCACAAUGAUUAUAGACAAUUAAUGCGGCGGAGUUUUCGUACCAAUUGAUGGUUUCCUUUUUCUCAAACCACGCAAAGGGCGGCUGCACAGUUGCAAGGCGCAAUUUUUCAUGCGCCCAUCUGACAACCCAUCAGGAGGUCUCGUCAUGUCAACUUUAACUGAAAAGAUCGUUUCAAUAAAAAGAAGACAAAUAUGCCAGAGAGUCAACAAUCUGGGGACUGCACCGACCACCGAGCACUUGAUGCUCGGGGACUGGUCGACCAGUCCAUCAGCUCAGAACUUCAAAGACUGCACCGACCACCGAGCAGUUGAUGCUCGGGGACUGGUCGCCCAGUUCAUCAGCUCAGAACUUCAAAGACUGCACCGACCACCGAGCAGUUGAUGCUCGGGGACUGGUCGCCCAGUUCAUCAGCUCGGAACUUCAAAGACUACACUGACCACCGAGCACUCGAUGCUCGGGGACUGGUCGUACAGUAUAGCAACGCAGAAUACUAAGCAGCGCACUUGGCGCCUGGGUACUGGUCGUCAUACUAUUAUUUACGUUCCCAACCGCGCUUGGGGACUUGUCCAAUGGAACCUACACCAUGCUCGGGGACUGUACCGACCACCGAGCACUAUACGCUCGGGGACUGGUCGACCAGCCCACCAAUUUGAGCAUUCGGGGACUGUACCGACCACCGAGUGUUAUAUGCUCGGGGACUGGUCGAUUAGUCUAUUCAAUUGCAGACGGACUGGUAAAUUCAACUUUUUAGACCUUGCUACAAGGCUCAUACUUCGCCUUCCAGCAAGCUCGGGGACUACAUCGGUACGAUGCAUCUGGCGAUGCAUCUCAGUUUCAGAAUUUCUUUAAGGGCUUUUCUUUUGACCCUGGCACCACGUGCCUACGUCACCUACUACCAGGCUCGGGGACUAAGUGGGCACACUUCACCUUGCGGUGAAUAUGCUUGCUUUUUGAAAGACUAUACUUUUCAGAAAAGUAAAGUGGGCACACUUCACCAAGAAAGAAAUCUUUUUUAAUUUAGAGCACCAUGCAUUCUUCAAACAACCUGCUUCUUCGAUGUCAAUGUUGAUCAACUAUUUUUUGAGUUGGUCAAAAUACUGUUGCAACUGUUUGGACGACUUUCCUGCUUAUUGAAGACGUCAAGCCUCACUGAUCGAAGAAGCUCAAGACGGCGUGUUACAUCACAAUACAUGGUGCUCGGGGACUAGCUGUGGGGGGAUAGACCCCUAUACCCUUACGGCUAGACUUGGGCCAGGAGGCUUGGCCCAUUACGAGACGAGUUCAAGGCUUGAUCCGACAGCCUGGAGUUUCGCGCAAGGAAGCAAGAUGUGGAGAUCAAGCAGGAUUCUAGUCGGUUAGAAUAGGAAUUGAUAUCGAACUAUCUAUGACAAUUGUAACCGACUAGGAUUAGUUUCCAGAUCUGUAACCCUGCCCUUCAGACUAUAUAAGGAGAGGCAAGGGACCCCCCUAGGACAUCAUAUUCUCUCAACACAAAUCAAUACAACCAGACGCAGGACGUAGGUAUUACGCCAACUCGGCGGCCGAACCUGGAUAAAAAGCUUGUCCGUGUCUUGCGUCACCAUCGAGUUCGUAGUUUGCGCACCGUCUACCGAUAAACUACUACCGUGGGUAUACCCCAAGGUAGACUGUCGACCAGCUUUCGUCGACACCAAGGUCCCGAGGUAGACGCAGCUGAACGGCCCGGGGUGAUCGGCAAGGAUGCGGGAGACCGAGUCGUAGAGGGCGAGCAAGCGACGGUGAUGGGAUCCCCCGGAGUCCAAUUCAGCUGGAAAGAGACAUAGGUCGACGAGGACGAGCGGGGCGGAGCGCCAGAUCGGGCGCCAACGGCGGGAGAGGACGGCGGUGCGUGCGGCCUCCUUGAGUUCGAGGCGCGAGACGAUGUUGCGGAGGACCGCGUCGGGGAGGCCGC
rnacentral:lncRNA from 1 species